GGUUUCGAGUGAGAAUUGGGAGAGUAUAAUGAAGGAAGUUGCGGGAGUUUUGAGGGAUUUAGAGGUGGAGAAUGAAGUGGUGAAGAUAGAAGGAAGUGGAGGGAAGAAAGUGGUGGAGAAGGGAGCGACCGCCAUCGGUGGACGUUGGUGUAAACUGUGAGAUUGGCUUCGCCGGAGAUAGAGGCUGUGGGUUUUGGCUUUGGACACGUAGGACGUGGUAAAG
rnacentral:misc_RNA from 1 species